rnacentral:lncRNA from 1 species
CCGGGCGGCACUAGGCUCGCACCUCGGCCCGUCCCCCACAGGAGGGGCCUCGGUUUUCUUCUCUGCACGUUUGCGUUUGGGGGAGCCUCCUGCCUCCACUCACUGCCACGGAGGGACUGGGCCAGGCCCUUGAUUCAUUUGGACCGGUCCAAAGUCUGCACUCCUACUUUGGCCCCUUGCCUCUCAGACCUUCUGAGAGCUGACCCCUUGGGAGAUGAAAGUCUAGGCUCUGCCAGCAGCCUUCAAAAUCAGUCCGAGGCCAGGCAAACUUUGCAGCACUCGUUUGCAGAGCUGGGGAUCCCUCCACAGGACGUGUGCCAGACAGAACUGUAGACCCCAGCCCACCUCCAAAGGACGACAGAUUCACAUAACGUUUUCAGCAUGGCUGAUGAAGAGCGCAUUCCACGACCAUUCCCUUUCCCACGGUUCCUAAACAAAACGGACUGAGCAAAGCAGUACAGCUGGGGGAGGUCAAGGUUAAAAUUAACCGAGAGGAUGGAGCGACAAGAGUGAGUCA